ACCUUUGGAGGAUGAGGAGAUUAUCUCUUAUCUCCUUGCAGGACUGGACAGCGACUACGAUGCCCUGGUCGAGGUGGUGACGGCGCAGACGACGCCGAUGCCGAUGCGGGAUCUCUAUGCCCAGCUGCUCAGCACCGAGU